AUACGGAGGGUGCAAGCGUUAAUCGGAAUUACUGGGCGUAAAGCGCACGCGGCGGUCAAUUAAGUCAGAUGUGAAAGCCCCGAGCUUAACUUGGGAAUUGCAUCUGAAACUGGUUGGCUAGAGUCUUGUAGAGGGGGGUAGAAUUCCACGUGUAGCGGUGAAAUGCGUAGAGAUGUGGAGGAAUACCGGUGGCGAAGGCGGCCCCUGGACAAAGACUGACGCUCAGGUGCGAAAGCGUGGGGAUCAAACAGGAUUAGAUACCCUGGUAGUCCACGCUGUAAACGAUGUCGAUUUAGAGGUUGUGGUCUUGAACCGUGGCUUCUGGAGCUAACGCGUUAAAUCGACCGCCUGGGGAGUACGGCCGCAAGGUUAAAACUCAAAUGAAUUGACGGGG
rnacentral:rRNA from 1 species